rnacentral:rRNA from 1 species
CAGUCGCCACGGGAAUACGUAGGGUGCGAGCGUUAAUCGGAAUUACUGGGCGUAAAGCGUGCGCAGGCGGUUUUGUAAGACAGGCGUGAAAUCCCCGGGCUCAACCUGGGAAUGGCGCUUGUGACUGCAAAGCUAGAGUGCAGCAGAGGGGGAUGGAAUUCCGCGUGUAGCAGUGAAAUGCGUAGAUAUGCGGAGGAACACCGAUGGCGAAGGCAAUCCCCUGGGCCUGCACUGACGCUCAUGCACGAAAGCGUGGGGAGCAAACAGGAUUAGAUACCCCCGUAGUCCCUGUCUCUUAUAC